rnacentral:lncRNA from 1 species
AAAAAAAAAAAAAAAAGGAUUUGAGAGUGGAAGUACCAUAUAAUGAUGUGAGAAAUCAGAAAAGAGAAACAUCAUUGACAAUGACAACCAAAGUAACGAGCAAUACAUUGCCUUUCUCUAUAUGGCUGCCGCCAUGUCGUGGGAUUCAGACACCGCCUCUGUCUUUGUCUACUAUCCGAUGACCGAGUCAAUCUUUGAUGAGCCAUCACGCCAAAUCUCAUGUAAUAGUCGUAGUAAAUCGCCGCCACCGUCGUUGGAGAGUGCCGGCAGAGCACGAACAACAACCCGAUGAUGAAGUUGCCGAAGAGGACCACAAAGUGGUGGCUGAAGGCGGAAGUGGAGAAUUCAACAUAAAACCGACCGGAAAAAUACAAAGCUCAACUUGAACAGCAUGUUAAUUAUACAGAUUGGGAAUAGAAUUUUUGCAAGAAUAGAAAAGAGUACGAGAAAGGGGGAGGGUUAGACAAAGAACAUGGGUAAAUUCAUGAUCCGGAUUAUUAGAUGAUGGCCUACUUUAAAUUUCUGAAGAAAUAGAAGGAAGAGAAAUUUACUAUUCUUAAAAUCACACAAACAGGUAACAAGUCAUGUUUUUAGCCAAAAAAGUGAAGGGGGUGCAAAGUGCCAAAGAAAUUGUGAUUGAAGAAAUGCAAAGUGCCAAUGUCAUGUAAUUUGAGGGUGCAAAGUGCCAAUUACCUUUAUAAAUAUAAUAAUUAGAAAUUAUAUUUUUUUAUAUAUUUAUUUGGUAAAAUAUAUAUCUAUCGACAAUUUAUAUUAAUUUUUGAAUGAAACUAUUUUACCUAAUUCUAUAUAAUGUUUAAAUAAGUUGUGAAUUAUUUAUUUUUGUCUAUGUAUUUACAAAUUUAAAAUAUUCACAAAUAACAUAAAUUAAUAUAAGAUAUCAUAAAUGAGUCCGAAUAAAAUUGUUGCAAGACCUCUCCAACUAAAGGCAUUAAAAACAUAAACAAAGAUUUACGAGAAAGCUAAUAAACUAUUUAUUAGAAUCUAUAAAUGUUGACUUAUUUUUCCGUGCACGACUUAUUGUUUCUCUAUCCUAUUCCAUCAGGAUUAAAAGGAAUACGUGAAUCCAUAAUUUAUAUGUAAUUGUACUAUCUAUUGGUGAAUUAUAACACAACAAAUUACGGUUAUUUAUAAUAGAACAACAUUGAAAUAUGUGCCUUGUGUAGUAUAGUAAAACUUUCAUUAGGGUUGAAUUUUUGAAGUGUGUGCCCUGAAUUUCAAUAGCUAGUGAAAGGUUUGAAAUGCGUGCUAGGAAAUCAAACGUCAACAAAGAUUUUGAAAUGUGUGCUCAAUUUAUUUUAAGCCUCGUGUCUUGUUUAUUGCAUGUCCCUGUUGGCUCAAAAGGUUUCACAAUACAUAUAUUUUCUAUAAAUACAUUUCGUCCUAUACACACACAAAAAUGUACCAACUCCAUAACAUAUACACUUACUGUUAUUUGUAUCUAAAUUAUGGUUUCUUCAUUUGGAUGGUUUCCACAAAAUGAAUUGGCAUAUUUUCAAUCAUCAAGUUCUUCAUCCACAUCCUCCGAGGAAGAAGAUCUUGUUUCCAUUUACAUGGAGAAAGUGACUCAAAACAUGCUUAAUUUUAUUCCAGAAAGCGUAUAUAGAACAACCAGCUCAACGACAAUAUAUUGAUCGUGAUCGUGAAAAAAAUCACCAACAAUUAUAGAUGAUCUUGGCCAAUCAUCUAUUCAAGAAAUAACUGCUACACUUUGUAUACUUACUUAUGGAUUUUCUGCAGAACACUGUGAUGAAUAUAUAAAGAUUGGGGCGAUGGUUGCAAUAUCGAGUUUGAAGAAAAAAAAUUCAUCAAUAAUUGAAUUGUACGAGGAACAACACAUGCGCUUACCAAAUAAACAUGAUAUUGCGCAUUUACUUCAAGAAGAUGGGUCGCGAGGAUUUCCAGGUAUGCUUGGUUCUUUAGAUUGUAUGCAUUGGAAGUGGAAAAAUUGUCCGACUGCUUGGUACGACACAUAUAAAAAUUACCAUCAUAAGCCAACUUUAAUUUUAGAAAUUGUUGCAUCCCAAGACCUUUGGAUUUGACAUUCAUUUUUUGGCUUCAAAAUCUGAGGAGUGAUAAAGAGGCCGAAAGUCACACACUAUGGCAGCU